rnacentral:rRNA from 2 species
ACGUAGGGGGCAAGCGUUAUCCGGAUUUACUGGGUGUAAAGGGAGCGUAGACGGCUGUGCAAGUCUGAAGUGAAAGGCAUGGGCUCAACCUGUGGACUGCUUUGGAAACUGUGCAGCUAGAGUGUCGGAGAGGUAAGUGGAAUUCCUAGUGUAGCGGUGAAAUGCGUAGAUAUUAGGAGGAACACCAGUGGCGAAGGCGGCUUACUGGACGAUGACUGACGUUGAGGCUCGAAAGCGUGGGGAGCAAACAG